UUCAACGCGGCGCUGCGACCCUCGCAAUAAAGCAGACAUUUUGUUUUGUCCUAGUCAAAUGUGGCACCAAAAUUAUACCAUAAACAGAUGGAUGUACGUUGGGCAUUGUAGGUCAUGAAAUUUAACGAGUAAACGCCUGGGACGACGUCCAGUUUGACCAGAAGAAGCUCUACCAAGUCUUCUGUUGCCCACCAUAAGCCUGAAGAGACGCUCGAAGUUCUGAUCGAAGCUUCCAGGAGGCUUCGAACGCUUCGAAAACGGCCGAUUCUUGGAAUUGGAGGAUGCCCAGUGUCCCACUUCCAAGCCCAAGCUAUUCAACGGGGCGUCAUACUCCGUAUUAUACACAUCCUGAUGUAAGAAUACAUGAGUUGAACCGUCGCUUACAGCAUCGAAUAGAGGUAUGUAACCACCACUUUUAUUCCUUUACGGGCAAACAAAACUUUGGGAAUUUUUUUUCCGUGAGAUUCGUCACGAAGACUCUGUUUAGAAGUGUUCUCUAUGGGGUUCCAUGUACAAAGAAUUUGCUUUGAUUUUUUUUUUCUUUGGUAUGUAGCUUAGAUCUAUCUGAAGGCUCGAGAAGAUAAGGCAAAGGGGACUAACAUGUAAACAAGAACCUACCAUAAAUAUCUUUUAUUCAUUCGACAACUUAAGUGAUUGGAAAAUAUACUGUGCUUAUGUUUCUUUUUGUGCCCUGCAAAGAGAUAGGUUAAUAUUGAUCAUGACAAACCAGGAAAAAAUUGUGUAGUGUGUUAAGAAUGUUUAAACUUCUCUAAAAGAAUACAGUACUCCUAUGGAAUACAUGAAGUUCCUUUAAACCUAUUUUUGCGGUGAAGUGAACAGUUUAGUAUGCAUGUUGCCCCCAAAAAAGAUCUUGAUAACUAUUUAAGACUUACUGAAUAUACAACAAGGGCAAAAAUAUGUUAUUUUUGGUACAACCCAUUGUGGGCAUGUCACAUGUCAUAACAGUGUAAUUAAUCCUUUUAGAGAAAUAUGAGAAGCUCUUCCUGUUUGGUUGUUACAAUGUUAAUCUGACCAAGCCCAUCUACUGUUGUGCUGCUGUUCUUUACACUUGACAAGACCUUAUGUUUCCCAAUAUGUCAAAGACCCAUAAUUAUUAUCAUUCACAUGUACAACAUAUGGAUCUGUGAUACUAAGAUUGUCCUGUCUAAUGCAGUAAGUUCCAUGUGUUCUGUCCCCUUUCUCCCACUACAAAAUACAUUCACUAUUGUGAAACUUAACCCACCUUGUUUAUAAAACACUAGUGAAAGAAGGGGGGCUACUUUUAACGUAUGGUCAAUGUCAAAGUCUCCUAGCCAGUUAGUUUACAUAUUUGAAGAAUUUGAUUUCAGGUUAUCCAUCGCAGAUCAUCUGCUUCCUUGAUAUUUUUUUUGAAAAAAAAAAAA